rnacentral:rRNA from 1 species
CCUACGGGAGGCAGCAGUGAGGAAUAUUGGUCAAUGGGCGCGAGCCUGAACCAGCCAAGUCGCGUGAGGGAAGACGGUCCUAUGGAUUGUAAACCUCUUUUGUCGGGGAGCAAAAGACGCCACGCGUGGCGUUCCGAGAGUACCCGAAGAAAAAGCAUCGGCUAACUCCGUGCCAGCAGCCGCGGUAAUACGUAUGGUGCAAGCGUUAUCCGGAUUUACUGGGUGUAAAGGGAGCGCAGGCGGCACGGCAAGCCUGAUGUGAAAGCCCGCGGCCCAACCGCGGGACUGCAUUGGGAACUACCGGGCUGGAGUGCCGGAGAGGUAGGCGGAAUUCCUAGUGUAGCGGUGAAAUGCGUAGAUAUUAGGAGGAACACCAGUGGCGAAGGCGGCCUACUGGACGGUGACUGACGCUGAGGCUCGAAAGCGUGGGGAGCAAACAGGAUUAGAUACCCGGGUAGUC